rnacentral:rRNA from 1 species
AUACGGAGGGUCCAAGCGUUAUCCGGAAUCAUUGGGUUUAAAGGGUCCGCAGGCGGUCAAUUAAGUCAGAGUUGAAAGCCCAUCGCUCAACGAUGGAACUGCCUUUGAUACUGGUUGACUUGAGUUAUACGGAAGUAGAUAGAAUAAGUAGUGUAGCGGUGAAAUGCAUAGAUAUUACUUAGAAUACCGAUUGCGAAGGCAGUCUACUACGUAUAUUCUGACGCUGAGGGACGAAAGCGUGGGGAGCGAACAGGAUUAGAAACCCUAGUAGUCC